rnacentral:rRNA from 1 species
GCGUGAGUGAUGAAGGCCUUAGGGUUGUAAAGCUCUUUCGACGGGGAAGAUGAUGACGGUACCCGUAGAAGAAGCCCCGGCUAACUUCGUGCCAGCAGCCGCGGUAAUACGAAGGGGGCUAGCGUUGUUCGGAAUUACUGGGCGUAAAGCGCACGUAGGCGGUUGGCAUAGUCAGAUGUGAAAGCCCCGGGCUCAACCCGGGAAUAGCAUUUGAUACUGGUCGACUUGAGUUCGGAAGAGGAGAGUGGAAUUCCCAGUGUAGAGGUGAAAUUCGU